UGAAUCUGGAUUCCCAUCUAGUGGCAGACGGGUGAGUAACACGUGGGUGACCUACCUUUUCGUUGGGGAUAACAGUUGGAAACGAUUGCUAAUACCGCAUGACGCAUGAGGAAGACAUCUUCUUUAUGUUAAAGGAGCAAUCCGCACAAAGAUGGCCUCGCGUCCGAUUAGCUAGUUGGUGAGGUAACGGCCCACCAAGGCGACGAUGCAUAGCCGGUCUGAGAGGAUGAACGGCCACAUUGGGACUGAGAUACGGCCCAGACUCC
rnacentral:rRNA from 1 species